AUGUCAAUGCAAAACUAAGAACGCAGACGAAUUUACCUCCAGACUUUUAGAUAUUCAUUCCCAGAUGCUACAGAUUAACAAAACAGAGGAUAUACGCUUGGCAAUAAUGCGUUCGGAUUAUAUGGUUGAUGAUAAGACUAAAUCACUUCUGCAAAUAGAGAUGAACACCAUUUCCACUUCAUUUGCUUUGAUUGGAUGUCUUAUGACUGGACUUCAUAAGAGCUUAAUUUCUCAAUAUGGAAAUAUCCUUGU